rnacentral:lncRNA from 1 species
GAGAAUGUCAAUGUGAGUUGUGAUUAUCUGCUUUGCCCUUGUGUAUGCAGUCUCUACUAGAUCCCUUACCUCUGCAUCCACCACAUCUGCUGUUGCCAUGGAGUAGUCUUUUUGUGAUGACAUCUAAGAAUGGAAUUUACGAGUCAGAUUAUGUUAAACAACCACCCACAAAAGCUCGGAGAGGGCACGAGAUCAUGCAGGCUAUAAAUACAACAUUAGUAAAUAUUAAAUUGAAGAAAAAUUUACCUGUUGACCUAAGAAAGGAUUGCCACCACCUCCACCAAUGGCAACUUGUCCAAUCUUUUUGCUGAAUCCAAAUCUUUCAACCAUCUGCCUUGCCACUCGUGAGACUUGCAUAAAGUCAUUCGAUGCUCCUGUUGUCACAUUUUCCUCCCCGAAAAUUACUUCUUCGGCAAUCCUG